GGGGCACUAACUCAACGGUCAGAGUAGCCGGUUCUUACCCGGCAAAUCAGGGUUCGAUUCCCUGGCAUCCCACCG
rnacentral:tRNA from 1 species